CGGCAGGUCUCAUACGGCCAGCUCCUACUGAACUCCCCCAGGGCCGGAAGGCAGCAAGGGUAGGUGGUCGUAGCGGCGCGAUAUGAUAAGCCUGCCAUUU
rnacentral:SRP_RNA from 2 species